AUUGAACGCUGGCGGCAUGCCUUACACAUGCAAGUCGAACGGCAGCACGGGUGCUUGCACCUGGUGGCGAGUGGCGAACGGGUGAGUAAUACAUCGGAACGUACCUUAUCGUGGGGGAUAACGCAGCGAAAGUUGCGCUAAUACCGCAUACGCCCUGAGGGGGAAAGCGGGGGACCGUAAGGCCUCGCGCGAUUAGAGCGGCCGAUGUCUGAUUAGCUUGUUGGUGAGGUAAAAGCUCACCAAGGCGAUGAUCAGUAGCUGGUCUGAGAGGACGAUCAGCCACACUGGGACGAGGACACGGCCCAGACUCCUACGGGAGGCAGCAGUGGGGAAUUUUGGACAAUGGGGGCAACCCUGAUCCAGCAAUGCCGCGUGAGUGAAGAAGGCCUUCGGGUUGUAAAGCUCUUUUGUCAGGGAAGAAACAGCAGCUCUAACACAGUCUGCGAAUGACGGUACCUGAAGAAUAAGCACCGGCUAACUACGUGCCAGCCGCCGCCGUAA
rnacentral:rRNA from 1 species